rnacentral:rRNA from 1 species
ACCCGCUGAACUUAAGCAUAUCAAUAAGCGGAGGAAAAGAAACCAACAGGGAUUGCCCUAGUAACGGCGAGUGAAGCGGCAACAGCUCAAAUUUGAAAUCUGGCGCAAGCCCGAGUUGUAAUUUGUAGAGGAUGCUUCUGGGCAGCGGCCGGUCUAAGUUCCUUGGAACAGGACGUCACAGAGGGUGAGAAUCCCGUAUGUGAUCGGUUGGCACCCGCUACGUAGCUCCUUCGACGAGUCGAGUUGUUUGGGAAUGCAGCUCUAAAUGGGAGGUAAAUGCCUUCUAAAGCUAAAUACCGGCCAGAGACCGAUAGCGCACAAGUAGAGUGAUCGAAAGAUGAAAAGCACUUUGGAAAGAGAGUUAAAAAGCACGUGAAAUUGUUGAAAGGGAAGCGCAUGCAACCAGACUUGUCCGCGGUGUUCCGCCGGUCUUCUGACCGGUCUACUCGCCGCGGGCAGGCCAGCAUCAUCUGGGAGCGCCGGACAAAGGUAGCGGGAAUGUGGCCCCUCGGGGUGUUAUAGCUCGCUACACAAUACGGCGCCUCCCGGGUGAGGUCCGCGCUUCGGCUAGGAUGCUGGCGUAAUGGUUGUAUGCGGCCCGUCUUGAAACACGGACCAAGGAGUCUACCAUCUAUGCGAGUGUUCGGGUGUCAAACCCCUACGCGCAAUGAAAGUGAACGGAGGUGGGAACCGCAAGGUGCACCAUCGACCGAUCCUGAUGUCUUCGGAUGGAUUUGAGUAAGAGCAUAGCUGGUGGGACCCGAAAGAUGGUGAACUAUGCCUGAAUAGGGUGAAGCCAGAGGAAACUCUGGUGGAGGCUCGCAGCGGUUCUGACGUGCAAAUCGAUCGUCAAAUUUGGGUAUAGGGGCGAAAGACUAAUCGAACCAUCUAGUAGCUGGUUCCUGCCGAAGUUUCCCUCAGG